rnacentral:rRNA from 1 species
GACGAACGCUGGCGGCGUGCCUAAUACAUGCGAGUCGAACGAGAGCGACCGGUGCUUACACUGGUCAAUCUAGUGGCGAACGGGUGAGUAACACGUGGGUAACCUGCCCAUCAGAGGGGGAUAACAUCCGGAAACGGAUGCUAAAACCGCAUAGGUCUUCGAACCGCAUGGUUUGAAGAGGAAAAGAGGCGCAAGCUUCUGCUGAUGGAUGGACCCGCGGUGCAUUAGCUAGUUGGUGAGGUAACGGCUCACCAAGGCCGUGAUGCAUAGCCGACCUGAGAGGGUGAUCGGCCACAUUGGGACUGAGACACGGCCCAAACUCCUACGGGAGGCAGCAGUAGGGAAUCUUCCGCAAUGGACGCAAGUCUGACGGAGCAACGCCGCGUGAGUGAAGAAGGUUUUCGGAUCGUAAAACUCUGUUGUUAGAGAAGAACAAGUGCUAGAGUAACUGUUAGCGCCUUGACGGUAGCUAACCAGAAAGCCACGGCUAACUACGUG